rnacentral:RNase_P_RNA from 1 species
UUAAUAACCUCGGUGAUCGCCGUCCUGCCACUGGCAGGAGGGAGGAAAGUCCGAACACCACAAAAAGGAUAGUUGAUAACGUCAACCGCUCUCGACGUGAGUUUGAGGGUAGAACAAGUGCAACAGAAAGUAUUCCUUCACCCGAAGCUUUAUGCGAAGGGUGGUAAGGGUGAAAAUGUCGGAUAAAUAGACGACACGUUUCUAUAGUAAUAUAGAAAAAGAGGUAAACUUUUAUCUGGUGAAAGGCUAAAUAGGUCCGCCUAUGGCGGACGGGUAAGCUGCUUGAGCCUAUAGGCGACUAUAGGCCUAGAUAGAUGGUCACCUCCCCGCUUUUGCGGGGUACAGAAUUCGGCUUAUGAGGUUAUUAAGCCU